UGGGGAAUCUUGGACAAUGGGCGCAAGCCUGAUCCAGCCAUGCCGCGUGAGUGAAGAAGGCCUUCGGGUUGUAAAGCUCUUUUGUCAGGGACGAUAAUGACGGUACCUGAAGAAUAAGCCCCGGCAAACUUCGUGCCAGCAGCCGCGGUAAUACGAAGGGGGCUAGCGUUGUUCGGAAUUACUGGGCGUAAAGCGCACGUAGGCUGAUAGUUAAGUGAGGGGUGAAAUCCCGAGGCUCAACCUCGGAACUGCCCUUCAUACUGGCUAUCUCGAGUCCGGAAGAGGUUAGUGGAAUUCCCAGUGUAGAGGUGAAAUUCGUAGAUAUUGGGAAGAACACCAGUGGCGAAGGCGGCUAACUGGUCCGGUACUGACGCUGAGGUGCGAAAGCGUGGGGAGCAAACAGG
rnacentral:rRNA from 1 species